GAUUAACGCUGGCGGCGUGCAUAACACAUGCCAGUCGAACGAUGAAACUUUAAUGAACCCUUCGGGGAGAAUUAAAGCGGAUUAGUGGCGAACGGGUGAGUAACGCGUGAGUAACCUGCCUUACACAAGGGGAUAGCCUUUGGAAACGAAGAAUAAUACCCUAUAAAACCAUAAAAGCACAUGCAAUUAUGGUCAAAGUGAUAGCGGUGUAAGAUGGACUUGCGUCUGAUUAGCUAGUUGGUGAGAUAAAAGCCCACCAAGGCAACGAUCAGUAGCCGGCUUGAGAGAGUGUACGGCCACAUUGGGACUGAGACACGGCCCAGACUCCUACGGGAGGCAGCAGUGGGGAAUUUUGCACAAUGGGGGAAACCCUGAUGCAGCGACGCCGCGUGAUUUAGAAGGCCUUCGGGUUGUAAAAAUCUUUUGUAUAGGAAGAAAAUGACAGUACUAUACGAAUAAGGGCCGGCUAAUUACGUG
rnacentral:rRNA from 1 species